CCUCAUAGCCCCUACUGGCCUGCCGGGGUCCAGCACACAUGGCGGCAUUAACUGUUCAAUGACAUUUCCGCCCUUAUGAAAUUCGCUUUCUCCGUGCAAAGGUCAUUCUCCCUUGUUUCCUAUCUGAGAGGAUUCGCUUUCUGCUCCUUGUUCAAUGGAGGAUACGUUUUCGAUCGAAGAUCGAACCCUCGAUGCCUACGACGACGAAAGCAUCGAUCAAAUCCCUGAAUGCUUCCGCUGCUGCGUCUGCCUGCUGAGAAAAAGCAUAGUGAAUUCUUUGCAUGGCCCAUGAAGAAUGACUUCUUAGGGUGGCACAGACAUCGGUAAAAAGUUCAUAUUGGAGUCGGCUGUGAUUCCUGUGGGACGUGUCCACUAAUUGGAAAGAGAUACAGAUGCAUGGAUUGUUCGGAAGCUGUUGGGCUUUGACCAUUGCGAAAAGUUCUAUGAUACUUGCUCCAAGCUCCCUGGCCGAUUCAAUCAGCAGCAUACCCCCGACCACAGGUUUCAGCUCGUUCAGGCUUGCAUAUUCCAUAGUAGAGUGUUGAGGCUAGUAGAUGAGCAAUCUGAUGAUGGUUCCGUCACUUCCAUUCUCUUGGAUGAUGCUCCAGAGGAUCCAGAAAAUACAGAUUCUACCAUCUAAAACUGUAAGAAAAGCUUGGAAAAUGCUGUCUUUGCUGUCAUAAUCUUGAAUUGAUAUUCAUCAUCUGUUCCAAGCUUAAUAUUUUAGAUCUUUUGUGGCCCCAAAUCGCUACGUUUGUCGAUUCCACUAUGCUUCUGGGGCAGUGCAGAUUUCUGGAAACUGCAUUGCAAGGGAUAUGUUUUCUGCUUUUCUGCCCUAAACUGCAGGCAGAGGAGUUUCAGGUUGGGAUUCUAACAAUAUCUAAGCCGCAUGAACUUGUGUGUACAGAAGAUGGUUCAAAAGUUUUACAAAGCAAGGGAAAAGAUAAGUACAUUGAAGAGGUUUUUUGCUCAGUUGUUUGAUGCCCCAUGUAAUUAGUAAGAAUGCUUCUCUGAUUUCUGUUGCCCUCAGAUGCAGAUAUAUUACUUGUCGAUUUCGUUGUCUCAUCUCCACACCCAUUUGAUCUGUAAUUUCGAUCCCAUUAUUGCCUUUUUCCUCUUCAGAGCCCCAUGUAUUUAGGAUGGGCACCAAAUCUACCUUUCAUUCUAAUUUAUGUAUUUGCAAUGGAAGGCUCCGAUAACAGAUUUGGGAAUAUUUGAGUAUAGAUGUUGCUUUCCAAA